rnacentral:rRNA from 1 species
GAUGAACGCUGGCGGCGUGCCUAAUACAUGCAAGUCGAGCGAACAGACGAGGAGCUUGCUCCUCUGACGUUAGCGGCGGACGGGUGAGUAACACGUGGAUAACCUACCUAUAAGACUGGGAUAACUUCGGGAAACCGGAGCUAAUACCGGAUAAUAUAUUGAACCGCAUGGUUCGAUAGUGAAAGACGGUUUUGCUGUCACUUAUAGAUGGAUCCGCGCCGCAUUAGCUGGUUGGUGAGGUAACGGCUUACCAAGGCAACGAGGCGUAGCCGACCUGAGAGGGUGAUCGGCCACCCUGGAACUGAGCCACGCUCCAGACUCCUACGGGAGGCAGCAGUAGGGAAUCUUCCGCAAUGGGCGAAAGCCUGACGGAGCAACGCCGCGUGAGUGAUGAAGGUCUUCGGAUCGUAAAACUCUGUUAUUAGGGAAGAACAAAUGUGUAAGUAACUAUGCACGUCUUGACGGUACCUAAUCAGAAAGCCACGGCUAACUACGUG